rnacentral:rRNA from 1 species
UACGAAGGGGGCUAGCGUUGCUCGGAAUCACUGGGCGUAAAGGGUGCGUAGGCGGGUUUUUAAGUCAGGGGUGAAAUCCUGGAGCUCAACUCCAGAACUGCCUUUGAUACUGAAGAUCUUGAGUCCGGGAGAGGUGAGUGGAACUGCGAGUGUAGAGGUGAAAUUCGUAGAUAUUCGGAAGAACACCAGUGGCGAAGGCGGCUCACUGGUCCGGUACUGACGCUGAGGUGCGAAAGCGUGGGGAGCAAACAGG